GUGUCAGCCGCCGCGGUAAUACGGAGGGGGCUAGCGUUGUUCGGAAUUACUGGGCGUAAAGCGCGCGUAGGCGGCUUGGCAAGUUGGAGGUGAAAGCCCGAAGCUCAACUUCGGAACUGCCUUCAAAACUGCCAGGCUCGAGGCAGGGAGAGGAGAGUGGAAUAUCCAGUGUAGAGGUGAAAUUCGUAGAUAUUGGAUGGAACACCAGUGGCGAAGGCGGCUCUCUGGCCCUGAUCUGACGCUGAGGCGCGAAAGCGUGGGGAGCAAACAGGAUUAGAUACCCUGGUAGUCCACGCCGUAAACGAUGAGUGCUAGUUGUCGGGGAGUUUACUUCUCGGUGACGCAGCUAACGCAUUAAGCACUCCGCCUGGGGAGUACGGCCGCAAGGUUAAAACUCAAAUGAAUUGACGGGG
rnacentral:rRNA from 1 species